rnacentral:rRNA from 1 species
UGCAGUCGAACGGACUCUUCGGAGUUAGUGGCGCACGGGUGAGGAACACGUGGGAACAUACCCUUUGGUAGGGAAUAAUGUCUGGAAACGGACACUAAUACCCUAUAAUGACUUCGGUCCAAAGAUUUAUCGCCAAAGGAUUGGCCCGCGCAUGAUUAGAUAGUUGGUGAGGUAAUGGCUCACCAAGUCUACGAUCAUUAGCUGGUCUGAGAGGAUGAUCAGCCACACUGGAACUGAGACACGGUCCAGACUCCUACGGGAGGCAGCAGUGAGGAAUAUUGGACAAUGGGGGCAACCCUGAUCCAGCCAUGCCGCGUGAGUGAAGAAGGCCUUAGGGUUGUAAAGCUCUUUCAAUAGUGAAGAUAAUGACGGUAGCUAUAGAAGAAGCUCCGGCUAAAUUCGUGCCAGCAGCCGCGGUAAUACGAAUGGAGCAAGCGUUGUUCGGAAUCACUGGGCUUAAAGCGUGCGCAGGCGGACUUGAAAGUCGGGAGUGAAAUCCCAGGGCUCAACCCUGGAACUGCUUCCGAAACUCCAAGUCUAGAAUCCGAUAGAGGUUAGGGGAAUUCCUAGUGUAGAGGUGAAAUUCGCAGAUAUUAGGAGGAACACCAGUGGCGUAGGCGCCUA